rnacentral:rRNA from 1 species
UACGUAGGGGGCAAGCGUUGUCCGGAAUUAUUGGGCGUAAAGCGCGCGCAGGCGGUUCUUUAAGUCUGGUGUUUAAACCCGAGGCUCAACUUCGGGUCGCACUGGAAACUGGGGGACUUGAGUGCAGAAGAGGAGAGUGGAAUUCCACGUGUAGCGGUGAAAUGCGUAGAUAUGUGGAGGAACACCAGUGGCGAAGGCGACUCUCUGGGACGGUACUGACGCUGAGACGCGAAAGCGUGGGGAGCGAACAGG